CCUACGGGAGGCAGCAGUGGGGAAUAUUGCGCAAUGGGGGAAACCCUGACGCAGCGACGCCGCGUGAGUGAUGAAGGCCUUCGGGUCGUAAAGCUCUGUCGUAAGGGAAGAACGGGUUGCAGGUUAAUACCCUGUAGCAUUGACGGUACCUUACAAGAAAGCACCGGCUAACUCCGUGCCAGCAGCCGCGGUAAUACGGAGGGUGCGAGCGUUGUUCGGAAUUACUGGGCGUAAAGAGCGUGUAGGCGGCUAACUAAGUCUGGUGUGAAAGCCCGGGGCUCACCCCCGGAAGUGCGCUGGAAACUGGUUAGCUAGAGUAUGGGAGAGGGAAGUGGAAUUCCUGGUGUAGCGGUGAAAUGCGUAGAUAUCAGGAGGAACACCGGCGGCGAAGGCGGCUUCCUGGACCAAUACUGACGCUGAGACGCGAAAGCGUGGGGAGCAAACAGGAUUAGAUACCCUAGUAGUCC
rnacentral:rRNA from 1 species